rnacentral:rRNA from 1 species
UACGAAGGGGGCUAGCGUUGUUCGGAUUUACUGGGCGUAAAGCGCACGUAGGCGGAUCGUUAAGUCGGGGGUGAAAUCCUGGAGCUCAACUCCAGAACUGCCUUCGAUACUGGCGAUCUUGAGUCCGGGAAGAGGUGAGUGGAAUUCCUAGUGUAGAAGGUGAAAUUCGUAGAUAUUAGGAAGAACACCGGUGGCGAAAGGCGGCCCACUGGGAUCGGUACUGAC